CUGCAGAGAGUACAGCAGAGCCUGGCCUUGGAGCCUUUGCUCUGCUCCACACUCUGGUCAAUUUCUCUCAGGAUGUGCAAGGCUGCAGGGUUGCCCGGGGAACUGUCACCGCAUAGUUUCCAUGCAUGCCAACUGUAUCCCACCCUGGAAGUAGCACCUUUGUUUUACUCUAAGGUUCCCUUAGUGUUGUAAUGGAACUUUGUGGGUCUGGGGGAGUAAUUUCCCCCAUUUUCUCACAGCAGGUUUUACAAAUUUUCUUUAAUUAUGGUAGGUAAGUGCGGCGAUAAUGAAGUCAUAGUAAUUCUUGGAGAGAAAGUGGCCAGUAGUUAGGAAAAUCUAGACUGCAAGGAGGGGACCCUUCAGCCCUCUGAUUCUGUGUGGUUUUGAGCUCUAGAAUGAAAGUUGUAAGAGAGACACUUUCCCUUCAGCAAAUUAGUCCUCUGGCCAGAGGUUACCAAACCUGGUGAUGAUUACCAGAUCACUUACUAUUUGCUUUGGUUAUGAACUGACUCUUACUGUUUAAUAAAAAAAUAAAAGGAGGACAAACAAGGAAAGAAAAAGAUUA